rnacentral:rRNA from 1 species
CUGGCGGCAGGCCUAACACAUGCAAGUCGAGCGCCCAGCAAUGGGAGCGGCGGACGGGUGAGUAACGCGUGGGAAUUUUCCUCAAGGUACGGAACAACUCAGGGAAACUUGGGCUAAUACCGUAUGAUGUCUAGCGACCAAAGAUUUAUCGCCUUGGGAUGAGCCCGCGUCAGAUUAGGUAGUUGGUGGGGUAACGGCCUACCAAGCCUGCGAUCUGUAGCUGGUCUGAGAGGACGAUCAGCCACACUGGGACUGAGACACGGCCCAGACUCCUACGGGAGGCAGCAGUGGGGAAUCUUGCGCAAUGGGCGAAAGCCUGACGCAGCCAUGCCGCGUGAAUGAUGAAGGUCUUAGGAUUGUAAAGUUCUUUCGCUCGUGACGAUGAUGACGGUAACGAGAGAAGAAGCCCCGGCUAACUUCGUGCCGGCAGCCGCGGUAAUACGAAGGGGGCUAGCGUUGUUCGGAAUUACUGGGCGUAAAGCGCGCGUAGGCGGUUUUGCAAGCCAGAGGUGAAAUGCCUGAGCUCAACUUAGGAAUUGCCUUUGGGACUGCGAGGCUUUGAGGACUGGAGAGGUGAGUGGAAUUCCCAGUGUAGAGGUGAAAUUCGUAGAUAUUGGGAAGAACACCGGUGGCGAAGGCGGCUCACUGGCCAGUUUCUGACGCUGCAGCGCGAAAGCGUGGGGAUCAAACAGGAUUAGAUACCCUGGUAGUCC